GAUGAACGCUGGCGGCGUGCCUAAUACAUGCAAGUCGAGCGAACGGACGAGAAGCUUGCUUCUCUGAUGUUAGCGGCGGACGGGUGAGUAACACGUGGAUAACCUACCUAUAAGACUGGGAUAACUUCGGGACACCGGAGCUAAUACCGGAUGAUAUUUUGAACCGCAUGGUUCAAAAGUGAAAGACGGUCUUGCUGUCACUUAUAGAUGGAUCCGCGCUGUAUUAGCUAGUUGGUAAGGUAACGGCUUACCAAGGCAACGAUGCAUAGCCGACCUGAGAGGGUGAUCGGCCACACUGGAACUGAGACACGGUCCAGACUCCUACGGGAGGCAGCAGUAGGGAAUCUUCCGCAAUGGGCGAAAGCCUGACGGAGCAACGCCGCGUGAGUGAUGAAGGUCUUCGGAUCGUAAAACUCUGUUAUUAGGGAAGAACAUAUGUGUAAGUAACUGUGCACAUCUUGACGGUACCUAAUCAGAAAGCCACGGCUAACUACGUG
rnacentral:rRNA from 1 species